AAUGCAUUCUUAGGUUUCAUACUAAGUGGUUUUAAUGACACAGAGAACAGAAAAUAUUCUGAAAGAACUUUUCACACUGUUAUCUAUUUGGCUCCAUGCGUAGGCUGACUUGUGCUGUAUUGCCUACCAAAAAAAAAAAUAUAUAUAUUUAAGGCAUUUCUAACUCUCAUGAGCUCUUCAUUAAACAAAUCAGUAUUGUUAUUCACCUUCUUUCUGAUUAUUGUCUUCACCUUGCAAAAUGGGGAAGGAACGCAUAAACCAAUUUUAUCACAACAGAUAGAGUCUCUUCUAUGCCAAUUUGUAUAACUACUUGGCCCUUAUUUAAAAGUAGCUUUUGCCCUGAGAACAUGUGGAAGAGAAAACGAGCUCUCCUGCAGUCCUUGUUAAUUUAUCACGAUAUAUGCACCAGCAAUCCCAAUUAAUGUAAUGACCUGCCUUGUUUGGCAGGCAUCUGAACUCUGCCCCAAGACAUCAGUGCAUCAUCUAUACGCCAAGCUUUGAGAAACAUUGCUCUGCACACCUCACUCUGUUCUCUAUAGUAUUUUUUUUUUUUAAUGCAUUGUCAAUGAAGAGCUUUCACUUCAAGGAGACCUGCAACUCUCCCUUUCUGAAAAGCAGUAGAGAUCUGCCCUGCUGUUCAAGUUCAUUUUCAAUUAGUAUCUUGGAUUUACUCAUUUGAACAGUUUAUGGGAAACCAUUAUGUGUUAAAGGAUUUUAGACAGGUUAGGUAUGAUUUAUAACAUAAGGUGGAAUUAGACAGGUUUAGUUUGAUUAAACAGCACAUCUGUUGGGGUGGCAGUGGAAUGAUUUAUGAAGUAAAAUCAAGUCAAAGAGAGAAAAAUGCAAUGGCUAUGUGUAGCGUGAAGGAGGAUAAAUGGAACCUAUGUGAUUGAAGACACUUCAUCAUAUCUGUGACUGUAUCUACCUGAAUUCUUAAUAUAUGCUUAGGUGUUUCCCAAACCUAGUCUCAUUUUAUCCUCGCAAUGAUUCUCCAAGAUAAUCCUGUUCUUUCCAUGUACAGAAGAGGAAACAGGUUCUGAGAAGUUAAACGACUUACUCAAGGACAAACAACUAAGCUGAGACAGAGCCAUGAAUCAAACCCUGAUUAUUGUUUUCUUCUUGUCUAAAGUCCAUGUUCUUUCUAUUUCUACAUAAUAUUCUGAAAACUGUUCAUCUGUUUCUCUCAAACUGCUCACAUGACAGUGUUUUAGGUUGCACCUAAGAUGCUGAAGAUAUUUCAGUCUGCCCCAGCAUGGAGAAACCAGUAAGAAUUCCUGCUUAUAGCAUAGCUUGUUCACAACCUGAUGAGAGACUUUUGGGUAAUGAAGUAGUCAAAACCUAUCUCUUCAGCACCUGAUAUCCAGGUGUCUCUUCCUUUAACAAGUCAUCACAGGUAGACACAUAUCCAACAAAUCCUUAUUAAUGUUUACACAUAUUUUUAAUCAUUUGCUUUGUGUUCUGGAAAGGAUUUCACUUGGCUUCUCCACUGAAGUGUGAUCAGAUCAGGAUUUAUUUAAUUAGCCCUCUUAGAAAUACUAAUACUUUCAUUUAGAUACAAAAGAAUUUUGAUCUUUACCAGUUACCUGAUUAAAAUAAACACUACAGAUUUACUGAGAAAAGAGAUUGAUGUUUUUAGUCAGCAAAGCAUUCCUGACAAUACAUAGGCAGCUAAUUACCUUCCCUGUCCUUAAAACCAGUCUUGCACAAUGAACAAUUACAGUGAAUUUUCGGUUAUCAUAAAGUGCAGGUCCCAGAUUAGAACUAAUCCAGAUUAGUGGUGGAUCCUUUUAUAUCUGUUGCCAACGUGGUACUCUAUUGUUGGAUAUGAAAGGAAACUCACAACCCCUCUGAGAGUAUUUACUGACUAUUGAAAUGGUAUCCAAGGGAAAUGCUCAUGUUCAAAAAGGUCUUGUCAAAUCAGCUUUGGGUACCCAACCCCAAAACAUUUUUUUAAGGGAAACAAUUGCUGUAAUUACCAUAUUUUUGUCAAGUAUGCAGCUUCUAAAAUUGGAAGACAAAUUAAACAUGAUUAUGCUUUGUUUAUUUGAUUUCUCAAAUAUCAUCAAUUCCUACACACACCUAAGAGAUUAUUCAGAUGUUUUUGGUUUUUCAGGAAUUUCACAGAAUUAAAUAUUAUUUAAGGUAAAUAGGCUAUUAACCAAGGAUUGUAAAGUUGAUUUAGUGUUCUAUGAGUAAAUUGCACUUUGCUGCCACAAUGGUUGACCUGUGUGUUAGUUUGAAUCAAGUUAUAGUAAAUAACAGCAUGACAUAGAAAAAUCAUUUCCUGUAUUAUCUUUACAUUAAUACAUAGGACAAUUAGUUUUCAAAUGCUCAUCUGUAAACAUUUCAGCAUUGUGUGUUGGUACUCUUUUAAUUCUAUGUGGGGAAAGUGGCUUUUCUGAAAAGGAUGCAUGCUUUGUGUUCACAUGUAUAGGUUUGUUUGGAGAGAAAAAGUGACAAGAGUGAGAGAAUGUUUGUUCUAAAAGGCAGAGCACUGGUAGGUGGGGCAGGUUGUUGAAACACUGCUAUGUCCACUGUGUAUCAUACUUGGCUAAAGCAUUAAAGAAAAUCUAUCAGAUUUGAGUUCCCGUACUUUCUGCUGGGUGUUUCUGUUGGAGGAUAUUUUCAUCAGCUAGGAGGCCCAAAUACUGAAUUAUUCAAUAGAACCUCAGGCAGCUCUUGCUUCAAGUGGUGAACAUAUACAAUGUUGUAUCACCCUUUAUCUAUGGACAUCCUUGACUAUGGGCUCUGUUUAAAGAAAACAGCCCUACACAUUUGACUUAUGCUAGAAAUUGGUUGAGAGAUUACAUAGAGUAUGGGUGUUUUGUUUUGUUUUAACAGAUUUGGCACCCUUAAUGGUGCCCACUAGCAGUGUUUGAGGUAAGUGUCUGUCAGAAGUUUUAUAGUAGACAACUCCUGUCAGGAUCUGUAACUUCACUACAGAAAAAAAAUCUCUGAAGGCUGAAAUUUGACAUGCAAAAUCUCAGUCUGAAGGGAGAGAGGCAGAAUAGGGGUGGGGAAAUGUAUUCAGGAGUUUAAUAUGAACUUUUCAUGACUACAUGACUCCAGCCACACACUUCCCCAAAGCCAAUCAAAAUAACUUUACAGUAAAUUUAUUUACCAUAAAUUUUAUUGUAAAUUAGGGAAUUCAUAAGAGAGAAACUCAAUAUUCUGGAAGACAUAUUUGAUAUGCAAGAAACAACUACUGUGAAUAAGUACAGUUUAAGAAAUAGAAUUUGAUCAAUUUAAUUUUUUAUCACAUAUUUUCCUUCCUCAGAGUCAACAGUUGGCAAAUUUAUAGAUCAGUCGGCAGUACUUUUGUGUUAAAAAGCUUGAUGCCUGUUUAAAUGCCUGGGUUUUACUUUUUUCAUUAAGAAGUUUAAAUUCUAUCUAGAAUGAUAAAUUAGAAAAUAUAAAGAAAAAUACCCCAAAGUUGAUAAUAUGUUACAAAUCAUCUUUCCUUUUUUUUUUCCCAGUUCUGACUUUACUGUUUCCUCUUGAGAUCUCAACAUUCUACUCCAUUUCUUCCUCCAAUUCCUCCACAAACCACCCUGCUCACUUCCCUGACUCCAGGGAUUCAAACAUUGACAAGUGUUAGAAAAGAAAAAUGAGGCCAUCUUAAGUAAGUAAUGUUAUUAAUAACAAGCUCCUAAAGGAGUGUCUAUCAUACAACACAUUCUCUUUAAAUGGCACAUAUGUAUGUUUGUAUUAUUAGUCUAUCACUUUUAUUACCAUAUACAAAAAAAUCCAGACAAAACCAAAACAAAACUUUUGAGUUAGCAUGGUUCAGGCCUGGAGUGAGUGAAUGUUUUACUAAUCAGUAGUGAAACCAAAAGAAUUGGGGAUCUGCUCGGGGCAGCAGUGCCCUAGCCAUUCAGGGUUCAUAUACCUUAAUUAUGGUGUAUCUUCCUGAAGACUCAGUCUCUGUUUUCUAUACCCAUGCUGGUAGGAUAAGAAUAGCAGUGGAAGCUCCAUUCUCAAAGGAUUGACUAGAAUUUGCUCCAUUAGUCCAGUCCUCAUGCUGAGCACUUAAGAUUGUGUGGUCCACUCACACAGUCACCAGACACAACUUUCCUGUCCCUUACCCUGGCAUGUCUCUUCUCUUUACCCCUUAGUACUUGGUAUUCUCAUUAGGAAUGAAGCUCUACAUUGGCCCCCAAUUGGAAUCCUGCCUAAUUCUUGCCAUUACCCCCCCCCAUUUUUCCUGCUCUGCCUUUUUGUUUUGUUUUGUUUUGCUUUUAUCUCUCUAAAUACUGAGACAUCUCCAAAACAUAUUGCCACUUAUCUCAAAAAUUGUACAUAUAGCCGUUCCUGUAUUUGCUUUACCCAGCCUCUUCUAAUAUUAAUAUUUUACAUAGUGUGAUAUAAUUAUCCAAACUUUGUAAACACUGGUACAAUAUUAUUAACUAAACUAUCAACUUUAUUAUUCAGUUUUCACACUCAAGCACUUUAUCUGCUCCAGGAGCCAAGUGUCAUAGUACAUUUCAAGGUGAUGUCAUCUUUGUUUCUCCCAACCUAUGAUAUUUCCACAGUCUUUCCUUGUCUUUCAUGACCUUGAAACAUUUGAAGAGUACUAGACAAUUAUUUUCUAAAAUAUUUCUUGAUUUGGAUUCUAAUGAUUAGAUGGAGCAUUUGAAUUUUUAGCCAGAAUAGCACAUAAGUGAGGUGAUCUUCUCAGUGCAUCAUUUCAAGAGGUACAUGAUUUCAAUUUGUCUUGCAAAUGCUGAUGUUAACAUUGACAUCUUAGUUAAGAUAGUGUCUGCUAAGUUUAUCAAAAAAAGGUUACUAUUUUUUCAUUUGAAAUUAAUAAAUAUCUGCAAAUAUUCCAUUUUUUCAAAUUUUGCCCACUAAUUUUAGAAUUAAUCUGUGGAUUAUUUUAUUAGAACUGCUCUGUUGUUCUGAUGAUAGUUUGCUGCUUUCAUCUUUUCUUCUGCGAUUAUUAAUUAGAAUUCUUCUCUAAGAAACCAAAAAUUAAUGGAAGCAAGAUCCAUCAUUUAGGAGUUCUCAUUGUGGUUCGGUGGGUUAAGAAUCUGACUAGUAUCGAUGAGGAUGAAAGUUCGAUCCCUGGCCUCACUCAGUAGAUUAAGGAUCUGGCAUUGCUGCAAGGUGCAGCAGGGGUCACAGAGGUGGCUAAAAUCUGGCAUGGCUGUGGCUCUGGCAUAGGCCAGCAGCUGCAGCUCCAAUUCA
rnacentral:lncRNA from 1 species